rnacentral:lncRNA from 1 species
UCAGGCAGCCGUAGGAUCUUCUUACCACACUCCCAUCCCCCCCUCAGGCCCAUGUCAUUGCUUGUGAGGGGGAGGGCAACCUAAAGGAGAUGGCUAUUUCUGCUGCCUUGAGUGGGGAUCAGGUGUACAAGAGCUGAAGCCCGACUUCCCCCUGGGGCCCUCAGAAAGAAGGGAUAUUCAUCGAAAGGGGCUCCAGGGAGAACCAGGGCAUGCGGAAACCUUAUGAUACAGGUGGGAGCUCCGUGAAGCCCCAAGAGUGUAGCGAUGCAGCAGUAGACACUGGAUCAAGCAUAACCCACUGUCACUCCAAACUCCUAAAGUCAAGCAAUCCACCAAACUCAGCAGCCUGAGGAGCAGGGAUGAACCAAUGCUGCCAGCUGAGACUGAAUAUUGCGAAAUUAAAGUGACCAAGGUUGGCCCCAAAGAAGAGACAAGAGAAGAUAUCUCCUACAUCCUUUGCAGAGGUUGGUUUGGAAGUUUCUGUUUGGAAUAUCCUAUGCCCAGUGUUCUGAAAUCCUUUAGCAAACAUACAGCAGCCCACGUAGCCUUCAUAACAAUGGAAGUAUCUCUCAUGACUGCCUUGCCCCAGCCGAGCACUGCCCAUGGUGCUGAAGACAAUGAAGUUGGAUCCCUCAGGGACAAAAGACUCGCCAUCUCCAUUGUUCAUCUGGAGCUGACCAGUAAGAAGUAGAAUUGGGACUGAGGAGAGAGACCAGGGGGCCAAGGGAAGGGAUGUGGGAAGGGAUGGAGUCUCUGAUAAACACAUCUGCCAUAGGGAAGAGCUAUAAUAUGACACAAUCAUUGUUGGAUACUGAGCUGCGGAACACGGAGAAGCC